rnacentral:rRNA from 1 species
AGUGAACGCUGGCGGUAGGCCUAACACAUGCAAGUCGAACGGCAGCACAGUAAGAGCUUGCUCUUACGGGUGGCGAGUGGCGGACGGGUGAGGAAUACAUCGGAAUCUACUUUUUCGUGGGGGAUAACGUAGGGAAACUUACGCUAAUACCGCAUACGACCUACGGGUGAAAGCAGGGGAUCUUCGGACCUCGCGCGAUUGAAUGAGCCGAUGUCGGAUUAGCUAGUUGGCGGGGUAAAGGCCCACCAAGGCGACGAUCCGUAGCUGGUCUGAGAGGAUGAUCAGCCACACUGGAACUGAGACACGGUCCAGACUCCUACGGGAGGCAGCAGUGGGGAAUAUUGGACAAUGGGCGCAAGCCUGAUCCAGCCAUACCGCGUGGGUGAAGAAGGCCUUCGGGUUGUAAAGCCCUUUUGUUGGGAAAGAAAAGCAGCAAGUUAAUACCCCGCUGUUCUGACGGUACCCAAAGAAUAAGCACCGGCUAACUUCGUG